GAUGAACGCUAGCUACAGGCUUAACACAUGCAAGUCGAGGGGAAACGACAUCGAAAGCUUGCUUUUGAUGGGCGUCGACCGGCGCACGGGUGAGUAACGCGUAUCCAACCUGCCCACCACUUGGGGAUAACCUUGCGAAAGUAAGACUAAUACCCAAUGAUAUCCCACGAAGACAUCUGAAUGGGAUUAAAGAUUUAUCGGUGAUGGAUGGGGAUGCGUCUGAUUAGCUUGUUGGCGGGGUAACGGCCCACCAAGGCAACGAUCAGUAGGGGUUCUGAGAGGAAGGUCCCCCACAUUGGAACUGAGACACGGUCCAAACUCCUACGGGAGGCAGCAGUGAGGAAUAUUGAUCAAUGGGCGAGAGCCUGAACCAGCCAAGUAGCGUGCAGGAAGACGGCCCUAUGGGUUGUAAACUGCUUUUAUAAGGGAAUAAAGUGGGUCACGUGUGACUUUUUACAUGUACCUUAUGAAUAAGGACCGGCUAAUUCCGUG
rnacentral:rRNA from 1 species